rnacentral:tmRNA from 1 species
GGGGCCGCCCUGGUUUCGACGGGGGUGAUGAGGCCAAAGUUGCAGGCCGAGGGGCUGGGAGGUCCUCGUUAAAACCCAGCACGAACAUAAUUGCCAACGACAAUUAUGACUACGCAAUGGCUGCCUAGUUAUUAGGCAAACAUUGCUUGGCGGCAUAGACCGCCACAUCCGUGCGGUGGAUGUCUGAUAAGCCGUAUCCGGGUGUCACCCCCAUCAGGCUGGCGAGAGGCCGCUGUCUGGACAGCUAAUCGCGAGAUUUUAUCCGGGCUGGUUUGCAGGACGCCCGAUCAGGGGCAAGCCCGCGAGCAAGAUGCAAAACCUGAUCUAAGCCUGUAGAUGCUUUGCGCGGAGCAUUCUCGGACGGGAGUUCGAUUCUCCCCGGCUCCACCA